CGUCCGGGAAGCGAUCGAGCUGGCGCGCCGCUAGUCGUUCUCGAUCCACCGUUGAGGAAUCGCGCGAUUAAAGGCGCAGACUUUCCCGGUGAGUGCGCGUAUCGGAGCCGCGAUUAUCGAGCUCUCGAUCGCGCUUCAGUUGGAGAACGCAGUUCAAGUUCGCUCGGCCGCACGGACGCCGCUGAGGACGACGCCGUCCGAUCGAUCGGUAUCGUCGACGACCAAACGUGGGUCAAACGCGUGGUUGCACGACGCGCUACCGCCUGAAUCCUCUCUCAGCCUGAAUUUGAGGGUUAAGAAUUGGUGCACACGUGUCAUCGUAUUGUCAGUGCCGCGCACGUGACCCCGCGAAUUUGUUUGGCGCGCGUUCAUCUUGGUGAGCAGCAGCGGGAUUCACUGCCUGACGGACAUGAAGAUCAAAAUGCCUAGGACGUUGCUGCUCCUGAUCAUCGGCUUAUUAGCGAAGGUUCUGGGAUUACCUAAUGGAGCACCACCGGAGGCAUGUUACGAUUUAAUGCCGCGUCAUUCUAGCGGCUCCCUCCAGUCAUCGUAUCCACCUUAUCAGGUACUACCCGCACCUGGACAAGGCAGGGUUCGACUGACUCUCGGGAGUCCUCAAGGUCUCCCAUACGAAGGCUUCAUGAUCAUCGCAAAGGACAUUAACACUGGCGAGAACGUGGGAGAUUUCGCGAAUCUGCCCGAUUCCGCAAGGUACCUGGAGUGCACGCAGGGCACAAAGAAUGGCGUGACUCACACGAACACCCAGAAGAAGCACAAUCUUGUAUUCGAUUGGCAAGCUCCGAUCGAUUACGAGGGGACCAUUAUCUUCAAUUCCACCUUCGCUCAGGAUUACAGCACGUACUGGGUCGGCGUGGAAUCAGCUAAAGUCGCCGUUUCCAAGCGAUCCAUCGACGUAUUAGCCACACCCCCGCCCGUUAUUACUUUCAGGACCACCACGCCGCCCUUCUACAGACCUACCGUCGAUUAUGCGACGAAGAAUGAGGAGGAUCCGUUUUACGCGGGCUGCCACACCACCAAGAACUGCUUCGGCGCGCCCGCGGGUUGCAUAAAAACCAAGGACUGCAUCGCCGUGGUGGCCGUGAUUGUGCGGGGCGACCAGUAUAUUUUCGAGAUGCAGGCGCGGAGGAACGCCAAAUACGUCGCUGUCGGUCUAUCGGACGACAAGAAUAUGGGUGACGAUAGCGUAGUCGAAUGCACAAACGAGGGCGACGAAAUUGCGUUACACAUGUCUUGGAAUACUGGAAAGCGAAAUACGCGUCAUGCGACGCCGGAAGGAGCGGUUCAGCUGGAGUCCGGCACGACCAAAGAUGACGUGAUUCACUGCAGAUUUCGACGAGACAAGCUUACUGUUGUUCAUGGACGUACAUAUGACCUUGUCAACACUCCGUACCAUCUCCUCGUAGUUGCCGGCACAGAUCUGAGAAGAAAUGGCGUUGACUUUCACGAUCUCGUCUAUCUCGGGACCAGCAGCUCGAAAAGACUUUCCGAUGUUGGCGAGUGGACUGCAGCAAGCGAUAUACUGAUUCGCCUCCAUGGCGCACUUAUGUUGGCGUCGUGGAUCGGCACAGCCUCCAUCGGGAUGCUACUCGCGAGAUAUUACAGGCAGACGUGGGUCAACUCCCAGCUAUGUGGGAAGGAUCACUGGUUCGCUUGGCACAGGUUCUUCAUGGUGCUCACCUGGUCGAUGACGAUCGCAGCCUUCGUGAUAAUAUUCGUAGAAUUGGGCACGUGGAGUUCCGAGACGAUACACGCUUCCGUUGGCUUGGCCACCACGAUUCUAUGCUUUAUUCAACCCUUCAUGGCGGCUAUGAGGCCACAUCCUGGCGCACCGCGAAGAGCUCUCUUUAAUUGGGCUCACUGGUUCGUCGGCAAUGUGGCAAAAAUAUGCGCCUUAAUCGCACUUUUCUUCGCUGUGCGACUGAACAAGGCUAAACUCCCGGAUUGGGUCGACUGGAUUCUUACCGCAUACGUAGUGUUCCACGUUCUAACUCACCUUAUUCUCACAUUCCUUGGAUGUGCAUCUGACAGACAAGUCAGUCAAAGAGUGAAUUCAUUCCCGAUGAAAGACAUGCAUUCUCGCGGAUCAAUGGUGCAUCCAGAUGCAAGACGAGACGCUCCCCAUUCCGGCAUGCGGAAGUUCAUUUUCGGUGUGUACUUUGUGGUUAUCGUCAUGUUCGCCGCAGCCCUCAUAGUGAUCACCGUGUUGGCACCUAUCGAGGAAACGUGGGCCACCUUCACCAACACUAUCUCGAAUUACUGAGGCCGCUAAUCAACGCGCCCUGGAAAUAUUUAUCACCACCACGAUACUCGCACGGAAGAUUUCGCCUGUGGAUGGAUAGUGUUGCAGUUCUCAGCGACGAUAUAAUCCUGACGCGACUUUCUGUAUGCAAAUUAACACGAGGAGCGCGUAAAUUUCUGUUCGUGUAAAGGUGCAAAUUGUGCACGAAGACGUACUACAGACUACUGCGGUGCUGACAAUAGUUUCUACUCUUUCCAGAUCUCUGAGAGGUUCGUUAUCCAUACUCCCAUUUUAAUUAUAUUUCGUGAUUAAAAAGAGAUUUCUGCGUAACAUAUCUUUUACUCGGAAGACAUUAUGUCUAAGAUUUGCAUACUUCAUUAUUACUGUUAUUAAAGAAAUGUUUUGGGAUUACUUUUUUUUACUUACGGAAUAUCUAUCGAUAUUCUGUCCAAGAUAUUCAGCUAGCGACGUAAGCAUUUGGCUAAUUUUUAUAGUAAUAAUCCUCGACAUAUACCAUAUGUCGAUGGUAAUAAUCGAUUUCAUAUCCGAAAGAGGUUUAAACAAAAGUGGCUCCAUUUUUUUAGUCAAAAUAUUGAUAGAAAUGUGUUUUUGAAAAUUAUUUAAUUAUAGGUUUAGUAAAAAAAUUUUAGAAAUUGUUAUUAAAUUUGAUUUGUUCUUGGCAAUAUCGUACGAUGUAAUCUUGAUCGAAUAUACACGUAUACAAUACAGUAAUUCUUUCGUAAGAAAUUAUAAUUAUAAUUAACAGGCUUAUGAGAUUAAAAAGCAAAAUCUUAAAAGACGUUGAAAGCCUAAAACGUCUUUUAGAAUCGUGUAUAAAAUGCAAAAACGUAAAAAUACGUAAUACUUGUGUGUGCAAUAAAAUCUUUUCGUUAAGUAUAAGGUAGGUGAAUCCUUUGAUAUUUAAUGUUAACUACCUUCAGCGGUGGAAACAAUCGAUAUUAUUAUACGUAAUUAUAUAAUUAACAUCACAUUUUUGCGACUGAUGUAUUGACUGCUGUCCGUAUAACUGUUGCAAUAUUUACAUAUAUUUAAUAUUCUUAUUUUUGCAUUUACAAUGAAGUCGACUUGCCUCAGUAUAAUAACAUAAUCUUCAUUAAUCCGCGAUUACAUCCGAUGAAAAUGAAACAAAAGCGAAGACAAGGUACCCCCGUUUUCGUAAAAUAUCUCAUCAUAUUUCCAGUCGAUGUAUAUUAUAUCGAGGUACAUGAAAGAAGAACGGAAACUAUUCUUUUGAAGAUUUAAUAGGAGAGUUGGCGGAAGAUCGAUGAAAUCGUAAGAAUUUUCGCAAGUUCAAGAUUUGUAUUAAAUACAAUAGCAGCUGUAUCCCGAAGUUUCGCUGAUUUCUUAUGUGCAGACGGUGCUUUUCUACUUACAUAAUACUUAUUUAUAAUAAAGUCUACAGUAUUAGCUUUUGCAA
rnacentral:misc_RNA from 1 species